rnacentral:misc_RNA from 1 species
GUGAAUCAUCAAAUUUUUGAACUCAAAUUGCGCUUUCUAGCAUCCCGGGAAGUAUGCCUGUUUGAGGGUCAGUAUUAACUAAAAAAUCGGUUUGGUUGCAAAUUGUGACGUUUCCGGAGUUUGGGCUAUCUUAACUUUUUUGUUUAAGGGGCUUAAAAUUGACCUUUUUUGCGGCCUUUUAGUCGUACAUAAAUUUUUUUUUAUUCGUCUGUUCUUAAUGCCAACAUCUUAUUAGUUGCUAUUAAAUC